rnacentral:lncRNA from 1 species
UCGAAAUCGAACUGAAAACGUCCCAAGCCCAGAUCUGCGCCCACCACUCUCUCAUCGACAUUCCAGAUCUUUGGUAGAUGGAACAGUAGCAUCUUCAUCUCCUGCUUGAAAGGAUUCAUGCAUCUCCCAAUCAACGUUUUUGAGUAUUCAGCAAUGAGAACUGAAUUAUCAAACUUUGGGAUCGAGAUCCUCAGUCCCAUACUUGGGGCCUGCACCUUUUUACCACCAGACUUAACCAUCCAUUGCCCC